CACACCAGGGUACAAAUACUUGCCUCAUAGACGUUAAGGAAGUUGAAGAAGAUAAAAAGGAUACCAUGGAGAAAAGAGCAGUGGGUCUCCCAGAAACUGGAAAAACUGAUGAACAAGACAGAUGUGAUCUGCUCACCAUGCCUGUAGGACUGCAUCCUGUCCUCAACUGUCUCGUUUUGCAAAACACAGAAUAUACCUAAAAAAUGCAUCUGCCUCAAGCUGAUCAUGCCACACGCUAACAGCAUCUUCAAGGUGUGAGACCUUUGUUUACCUGUGUGCAGACAAAGAAUAAUUUAUAAUGGAUUAUUUACAAGGUCACUCCAUUAUGGAACAGCUUUACCUGGAGCCCCAGGUAAAGGCAACCAAAAUGCAGCCAUUCCUCGGGUGAGACAGUGCAGUGCUUGGUGAUGUCACAUGCAUGUGCUAAUGAUAAA